AAUUGAUAUUUGGCAACAAUUUUGAGAGAAGAUUAGAAAGAGGAGAGAGUUGGAUUUGAGGAGGGUCAAUCUGAGAGAAGAAGAAAGGUGUGCAGAAAAAGAGCACUAAUGAAGAAAGUGACCUCCCCAAACCACUGGAGUCAAAGAAGUCUUCUGUGAGGAAGAGAUCCAAGAAAUUCAGUGAACCUCAAGCAAGAGGAAUAUAA